GGCGGCAGGCCUAACACAUGCAAGUCGAGCGGCAACAUUUCUAGCUUGCUAGAAGAUGACGAGCGGCGGACGGGUGAGUAACGCGUAGAAAUCUACCUAGUAGUGGGGGAUAGCCCAGAGAAAUUUGGAUUAAUACCGCAUACGCCCUACGGGGGAAAGCGGGGGAUCUUCGGACCUCGUGCUAUUAGAUGAGUCUGCGUCGGAUUAGCUUGUUGGUGAGGUAAUGGCUCACCAAGGCGACGAUCCGUAGCUGGUCUGAGAGGAUGACCAGCCACACUGGAACUGAGACACGGUCCAGACUCCUACGGGAGGCAGCAGUGGGGAAUAUUGCACAAUGGGCGCAAGCCUGAUGCAGCCAUGCCGCGUGUGUGAAGAAGGCCUUAGGGUUGUAAAGCACUUUCAGCAGUGAGGAAAGGGGUGUCGUUAAUAGCGCCAUCCUGUGACGUUAACUGCAGAAGAAGGACCGGCUAACUCCGUG
rnacentral:rRNA from 1 species